UUCCGUAAGGGGUGCCUGCGGAGGGAUCAUUACCGAGUUUACAACUCCCAAACCCCUGUGAACAUACCUAUACGUUGCCUCGGCGGAUCAGCCCGCGCCCCGUAAAACGGGACGGCCCGCCCGAGGACCCUAAACUCUGUUUUUAGUGGAACUUCUGAGUAAAACAAACAAAUAAAUCAAAACUUUCAACAACGGAUCUCUUGGUUCUGGCAUCGAUGAAGAACGCAGCAAAAUGCGAUAAGUAAUGUGAAUUGCAGAAUUCAGUGAAUCAUCGAAUCUUUGAACGCACAUUGCGCCCGCCAGUAUUCUGGCGGGCAUGCCUGUUCGAGCGUCAUUUCAACCCUCAAGCUCAGCUUGGUGUUGGGACUCGCGGUAACCCGCGUUCCCCAAAUCGAUUGGCGGUCACGUCGAGCUUCCAUAGCGUAGUAAUCAUACACCUCGUUACUGGUAAUCGUCGCGGCCACGCCGUAAAACCCCAACUUCUGAAUGUUGACCUCGGAUCAGGUAGGAAUACCCGCUGAACUUAAGCAUAUCAAAA
rnacentral:rRNA from 1 species